CUCAGGACGAACGCUGGCGGCGUGCCUAAUACAUGCAAGUCGAGCGAAUCGAUGGGAGCUUGCUCCCUGAGAUUAGCGGCGGACGGGUGAGUAACACGUGGGCAACCUGCCUAUAAGACUGGGAUAACUUCGGGAAACCGGAGCUAAUACCGGAUACGUUCUUUUCUCGCAUGAGAGAAGAUGGAAAGACGGUUUACGCUGUCACUUAUAGAUGGGCCCGCGGCGCAUUAGCUAGUUGGUGAGGUAAUGGCUCACCAAGGCGACGAUGCGUAGCCGACCUGAGAGGGUGAUCGGCCACACUGGGACUGAGACACGGCCCAGACUCCUACGGGAGGCAGCAGUAGGGAAUCUUCCGCAAUGGACGAAAGUCUGACGGAGCAACGCCGCGUGAACGAAGAAGGCCUUCGGGUCGUAAAGUUCUGUUGUUAGGGAAGAACAAGUACCAGAGUAACUGANNNUANCUGGUACCUUGACGGUACCUAACCAGAAAGCCACGGCUAACUACGUGCC
rnacentral:rRNA from 2 species